GGGUGUGGUGUAGUAGUUUGAGUGUUGGACUAUCAUUCUGGAGACCAGGGUUCAAUUCCCAGCUCGGCCA